UGGGGAAUCAUGGUCAAUGGGCGAAAGCCUGAACCUGCGACGCCGCGUGAGUGAUGAAGGUCGUAAGAUCGUAAAACUCUUUUCAGGGAUCUUAAAGCACAACCGUCAACAACGGCUGUGUGUGACUCUCCCUGGAAGAAGCCCCAGCCAACUACGUGCCAGCAGCUGCGGUAAUACGUAGGGGGCGAGCGUUAUUCGGAAUUACUGGGUGUAAAGGGUAUGUAGGCGGCCCUUCAAGUCGCGUGUCAAAGUCCAGUGCUCAACGCUGGGUUUGCGCGGGAUACUGACGGGCUUGAGGGCUGGAGAGGUGAGCGGAAUUCCCGGUGGAGUGGUAAAAUACGUAGAGAUCGGGAGGAACACCAGCGGCGCAGGCGGCUCACUAGACAGUUUCUGACGCUAAGAUACGAAAGCGUGGGGAGCAAACA
rnacentral:rRNA from 1 species